rnacentral:rRNA from 1 species
CGGCGUGCUUAACACAUGCAAGUCGAACGGAAAGGCCCUGCUUUUGUGGGGUGCUCGAGUGGCGAACGGGUGAGUAACACGUGAGUAACCUGCCCUUGACUUUGGGAUAACUUCAGGAAACUGGGGCUAAUACCGGAUAGGAGCUCCUGCUGCAUGGUGGGGGUUGGAAAGUUUCGGCGGUUGGGGAUGGACUCGCGGCUUAUCAGCUUGUUGGUGGGGUAGUGGCUUACCAAGGCUUUGACGGGUAGCCGGCCUGAGAGGGUGACCGGCCACAUUGGGACUGAGAUACGGCCCAGACUCCUACGGGAGGCAGCAGUGGGGAAUAUUGCACAAUGGGCGGAAGCCUGAUGCAGCAACGCCGCGUGCGGGAUGACGGCCUUCGGGUUGUAAACCGCUUUCGCCUGUGACGAAGCGUGAGUGACGGUAAUGGGUAAAGAAGCACCGGCUAACUACGUGCCAGCAGCCGCGGUGAUACGUAGGGUGCGAGCGUUGUCCGGAUUUAUUGGGCGUAAAGGGCUCGUAGGUGGUUGAUCGCGUCGGAAGUGUAAUCUUGGGGCUUAACCCUGAGCGUGCUUUCGAUACGGGUUGACUUGAGGAAGGUAGGGGAGAAUGGAAUUCCUGGUGGAGCGGUGGAAUGCGCAGAUAUCAGGAGGAACACCAGUGGCGAAGGCGGUUCUCUGGGCCUUUCCUGACGCUGAGGAGCGAAAGCGUGGGGAGCGAACAGGCUUAGAUACCCUGGUAGUCCACGCUGUAAACGGUGGGUACUAGGUGUGGGGUCCAUUCCACGGGUUCCGUGCCGUAGCUAACGCUUUAAGUACCCCGCCUGGGGAGUACGGCCGCAAGGCUAAAACUCAAAGGAAUUGACGGGGCCCCGCACAAGCGGCGGAGCAUGCGGAUUAAUUCGAUGCAACGCGUAGAACCUUACCUGGGUUUGACAUGGAUCGGGAGUGCUCAGAGAUGGGUGUGCCUCUUUUGGGGUCGGUUCACAGGUGGUGCAUGGCUGUCGUCAGCUCGUGUCGUGAGAUGUUGGGUUAAGUCCCGCAACGAGCGCAACCCUUGUUCACUGUUGCCAGCACGUUAUGGUGGGGACUCAGUGGAGACCGCCGGGGUCAACUCGGAGGAAGGUGGGGAUGACGUCAAGUCAUCAUGCCCCUUAUGUCCAGGGCUUCACGCAUGCUACAAUGGCUGGUACAGAGAGUGGCGAGCCUGUGAGGGUGAGCGAAUCUCGGAAAGCCGGUCUCAGUUCGGAUUGGGGUCUGCAACUCGACCUCAUGAAGUCGGAGUCGCUAGUAAUCGCAGAUCAGCAACGCUGCGGUGAAUACGUUCCCGGGGCUUGUACACACCGCCCGUCAAGUCAUGAAAGUUGGUAACACCCGAAGCCGGUGGCCUAACCGUUGUGGGGGAGCCGUCGAAGGUGGGACUGGUGAUUAGGAC